GUCCCUCCACAACACUUUUUCGUUCAUCGUUAUAUUUCGAAAGAACACGAACGAGCCAGUGGUUUGUUGCGCCAAACGAGUGAACUACUCAGGUUUCCAACUUCACUUCUUCCCUCUCUCUAUUGAUCCAGUUUCGGCCACUGGAUUUUGCAUAAGUUCUUUUUUUGCAGAGGGAGAAAGUAAAGUGAAGAAGAAAGAGGAGUGAAGUGAUUUCUCGUUAUCUGUCCCUCCAGAUUCCUGAAACAGACACUUCCAAAACAAAUUGGCAACUAUAAAGAAAGGGAAAAGAAUCCUCUGAUGGCUUCAGUUCCUUCAAAACUCUACUCUGAUGAUGUUAGUCUUGUUAUGGUGUUAUUGGACACUAAUCCGUUUUUCUGGACCACUUCUUCUCUCCUGUUUUCCCAAUUUCUCUCUCACGUGCUUGCAUUUUUGAACUCCAUUUUGCUGCUUAAUCAACUGAACCAAGUAGUGGUGAUUGCUACUGGGUAUAAUUCAUGCAACUAUGUUUACGAUUCGUCUUUGGCAGCGAAUCAGAGCUCGGAAGAUGGGAGAAUGCCUGCUUUAUACUCCAAUUUGUUGCAGGCAUUGGAGGAGUUUAUGAUCAAAGAUGAAAAGUUGGGGAAGGAGGAGUCUCAAGGAAAGAUUGCUUCUUCGUUGCUCUCUGGGUCAUUAUCCAUGGCUCUUUGUUAUAUACAACGGGUCUUUCGUUCAGGACCACUCAAUCCUCAGCCUCGAAUUUUGUGUUUGCAGGGAUCUCCAGACGGACCUGAACAAUAUGUUGCAGUAAUGAAUGCAAUAUUCUCUGCUCAACGCUCGAUGGUCCCUAUAGACUCUUGUUAUGUUGGUUCUCACAAUUCAGCCUUCCUCCAGCAGCAGGCUUCUUACAUAACUGGAGGUGUAUAUGUUAAACCUCAACAUUUGGAUGGGCUGUUUCAGUAUUUGGUGACUGUAUUUGCAACUGACUUGCAUUGUCGCAGCUUCUUGCAACUUCCCAGGCCUGCUGGUGUUGAUUUUCGUGCAUCGUGUUUUUGCCAUAAAACUACAAUUGAUAUGGGGUACAUAUGUUCUGUAUGUUUAUCCAUAUUCUGUAAGCAGCAUAAAAAAUGUUCAACCUGCGGGUCAGUGUUUGGUCAAUCCCAAUCAGAUAAUUCCUCAGCAUCAGAUCGCAAGAGAAAGGCUCCAGAAACAUGAUCUAGCUCUUCUAGAUGCAUAUUGUAAGUUAUUGCAUCACAGAUUUUGUUAACUACCAAGACUAGCGAUAAUAUGAAAUCUCAAGUGCUGCAUUUUGCUGAAAGACAACUUGGAGUGGUGUUGCUCGCAGGAAACAUGUUUAGAGAUUGGAUGAAAUAGAGUUUUAUGGAGUUGUUCAAUAUGAGCACAGAUCUAAUUUUGGGUGAUAUUUGGAGUGACUCGAGGGCUUCCUUGCUCCUCUUCAAGAUUUUCCUUAGAACUUUUUCCCAAUAAACAACCGAAGGAAAUAUAGAAGCUAGAGAUGUUUUAUUUGCAGUUUGUUUAGUCGUAUAUUUUAAUGUGUACUCCUAAAAAUCAAAAGCAAUUUAUUGAUUAGACCAAACAUCAGCAACUAUAUAUUAAUGCCAUCCUUAUUUUUUUAUAUAAA